rnacentral:lncRNA from 1 species
GAAACAACGUCUGGUUCUUGAGACAUAACAGCUAGGAAUGAUAGAAGAAUCCAUUUUUCUUCGGAAUCCGAGACUUCCUCCUGCAAAAAUAAAGAUCGUAAUUCAGCAACACCAACACUUGCCAAAAAUAGAAGAAAGCUAGUAAGUAUCCUUAUGUACCUGUGUGUUGAACUUAUAUCUUUGAAGCUUCUCUGCAAUAAUUUCAAGUCCGUUGUCUUCCAUAACAGUAAGAGUGUUGUUGGGAUGAGAAGAGCAAAAAAUGGAUAGAAACCACAUAGAGAUUGUGCUUCCCAAGACAGUUACUGGAUCAACCAUGUCGGAGUCGCCCAUCUUUAAGCACAAGUUGU